CCAGAGCUGGGCUCUCAGCUAUGAAUGUGCAUGCGCGGCAAGAUCUGCGUGAGCAUUCAAACCGCCCAUAGGAAAGCAUUACUCAAUGCUUUCCUAUGGACGUCCAGUGUCUUCUCACUGUGAUUUUCACAGUGAGAAGCGCGGAAGCGCCUCUAGUGGCUGUCUCACUGAAACUGCUUUGUUUUUAGCUGCAGGGUUAAAACUAGAGGGACCUGGCACAUAGACCACUUCAUUGAGCUGAAGUGAUCUGAGUGUCUAUAGUGGUCCUUUAAGUGUAUGUAUCUG